UACGUAGGGUGCAAGCGUUGUCCGGAAUUAUUGGGCGUAAAGAGCUCGUAGGCGGUCUGUCACGUCGGACGUGAAAAUCCAGGGCUCAACCCUGGACCUGCGUUCGAUACGGGCAGACUAGAGUUCGGUAGGGGAGACUGGAAUUCCUGGUGUAGCGGUGAAAUGCGCAGAUAUCAGGAGGAACACCGGUGGCGAAGGCGGAUCUCUGGGCCGAUACUGACGCUGAGGAGCGAAAGCGUGGGGAGCGAACAGG
rnacentral:rRNA from 1 species